AGAACCUCCAGCCUGUCACAGUCACCAGGGCAUAGACGCUGUCGUGUGUGUCUCGGAGGAAGAACAUAUCCUGAUCUAGGAGUCAUAGCAGCGAGAUACAACUCCACUGCUUUGUGAAGGGGGAAGACACAUCUUCAGGAGACCUGGAAGGAGGAAUCGUGACGUCACUUUGGGCAGGACCGAAAACUGGCUUUUCUUUUUAGCUCACCUACAGUGGCUGGAAACACAGACGGAG